rnacentral:rRNA from 1 species
UGGAUCUUAGUGGCGAACGGGUGAGUAACGCGUAGGCAAUCUGCCUUCUAGAUGGGGACAACAUCCCGAAAGGGGUGCUAAUACCGAAUGUUGUAAUUGGUUCGCAUGGACUAGCUACUAAAGGUGGCCUCUGAAUAUGCUACCGCUAGAAGAUGAGCCUGCGUCUGAUUAGCUAGUUGGAGGGGUAACGGCCCACCAAGGCUUCGAUCAGUAGCCGGUCUGAGAGGAUGAACGGCCACACUGGGACUGAGACACGGCCCAGACUCCUACGGGAGGCAGCAGUGGGGAAUCUUCCGCAAUGGACGAAAGUCUGACGGAGCAACGCCGCGUGAGUGAAGAAGGUUUUCGGAUCGUAAAGCUCUUUCGUUAGGGACGAACGUGCUCUUUGUGAAUAAUGAGGAGUAAUGACGGUACCUAAAUAAGAAGCCACGGCUAACUACGUGCCAGCAGCCGCGGUAAUACGUAGGUGGCAAGCGUUGUCCGGAAUUAUUGGGCGUAAAGCGCGCGCAGGCGGGAUAUCAAGUCUGUCUUAAAAGUGCGAGGCUCAACCUCGUG